AUAAAGAACCAAUAUUUUUGGUGACUCAUAAUAACUUUACGGAUCACAUUAUGUGACAUAUCAUUCAAGUUUCUGACCUAUCAGCUUUAGACGGUAGGGUAUUGGCCUACCGUGGCUAUGACGGGUAACGGGGAAUUAGGGUUCGAUUCCGGAGAGGGAGCCUGAGAAACGGCUACCACAUCUAAGGAGGGCAGCUGGCGCGCAAAUUACCCAAUCCUAAUACAGGGAGGUAGUGACAAGAAAUAACAAUACAGAACCUUACGGUUUUGUAAUUGGAAUGAGUUAAGUAUAAACCCCUUAACAAGUAUCAAUUGGAGGGCAAGUCUGGUGCCAGCAGCCGCGGUAAUUCCAGCUCCAAUAGCGUAUAUUAAAGUUGUUGCAGUUAAAAAGCUCGUAGUUAAUCUUCUGUUAAUUUUUAUAUAUAAUAUUUCGAUAUUUAUAUAAUAUUAACAUAAUUCAUAUUACUUUUUAGUAUAUGAAACUUUACUUUGAGAAAAUUAGAGUGCUUAAAGCAGGCUAUUGCCUUGAAUACUCCAGCAUGGAAUAAUAUUAAGGAUUUUUAUUCUUCAUAUUGGUUCUAGAAUAAAAAUGAUGAUUAAUAGGAACAGUUGGGGGCAUUUGUAUUUAACAGUCAGAGGUGAAAUUCUUAGAUUUGUUAAAGACAAACUACUGCGAAAGCAUUUGCCAAGGAUGUUUUCAUUAAUCAAGAACGAAAGUUAGGGGAUCGAAGACGAUCAGAUACCGUCGUAGUCUUAACCAUAAACUAUGCCAACUAGAGAUUGGAGGU
rnacentral:rRNA from 1 species